UCUUGAUGAUUAUGAUGGUUGCACUUCUCGUGCCAACCGAAAGUAUGGAUCAGAGGUUAAGGGAGAAAAGGGCUCCAGGCAUAAUGGAUAAGAUCAAGGAACAUUGGGGAAAACUGAAGAACAAAUUAAGUUCAGGAUCUUCUGCAUCUGCUGCAUCUUCUGAGUCUUCUGAUGCUUCUGCCUCUUCAGAAGGGUCCAGAUGAUGGAGAAAAAUCUGCACGAAGUGUCUAAACUACAGAGAGGAUGACAUUUACCAAGACAUUUGCAUUAAUGUUGUG